AUGAAGGAAGGGGGUCAGAAGAAGAACAUCCUGGCCAAGACGCUCCAGAAGUGCCGGUCGCUGGGCCACCGGAGGCAGCCGGCGGCCUACGGCGGUGGCGGCGCUGGCAGCAGCGCCAGUGCCCCGGCGUCGCCACGCGCGGCCGAUGGCAGGGUGGCGGCGUGGGCCGUGCCGGCGGGGUACUUCGCCGUGCUCGUGGGGCCAGGCAAGGAGCGGUUCGCGGUGCGCGCCAGGUGCGCAAACCACCCCCUGUUCCGCGCGCUGCUGGACGAGGCCGAGACGGAGUACGGCUUCGCCGGCUGCAUCGGCCCGCUCGAGCUGCCCUGCGCCGUCGAUGAUUUCAUGGAGGUGAUGUGGGAGAUGGAGCAGGGGGGCGGUGUCACAUCCCUAGCUUCUGGCAUUGCUCUAGGCUAG
rnacentral:rRNA from 1 species